AAAUCUAGCACGGUGAGCAGUGAGCUUGCGCUACUGUUCAUCGUGUCGUUUCUCUCGACGGCGCAUUGCUUGCUCCUCCCUUCUCCCAGAUCUUCGAGCCAGCUUGUCCUCAUCGGCGUGGAGUUCCUCAGCCUCCGGCGACCAGAUUUUGACCAUCGUUCUUCAUCAGCGAAUUGAUUUGGCGAGCAGGGUACUGUAGCUGAGAAUCGCGGUUUUCUCCUCAGUCCGGCGGCGUUCCUCCGUUUGAGCUUCCACUCCUUUACAGAACCAUCGACGGCGUUCCUCCGGUGCUUCUGAUCCAUUUCCAACAUCACUUCAUGCUUCGUGGCCCUUGGUCCAUCUCGCGAUUCCAGCGCCAGUGACCCCAGCAGCGUGCGACAGAGAACCAUUUCAGAAACCUGAUUUCGCCGAAGCUUUGUGAGCCGAUACAAGUGAAUUUAGGUUCAUCUUGAAGUUUGAGGACACCAGACCGAUUUCUGUUGGAUCGUUCUUUGCGGAUUCUUUGUGCGACGACAAAGAGGAGACAAACUGAUUUACGAUUUGGAUUGUCUUCCUUUGCAACAUUGCUUGAACUUGACCCGGAGAUUGAGAGAACCUUUUGGGCAUUGAGGAAGCAAGCUAGGUCAGCAGCAACUUGAGAGAGCAGAAUUUUAGAUAUGGAUAAUCAAAUAACAGAAAGCAAUCAAACCAUGAAAGAGCUUGCAGCUCCAGAUGUGGCUUAUAAGUAUUCAUGCAUCACUUAUCCAGAUUUGGCAGACGAUUUUGAACUCAGAUCAUGACUUAUUCAUCUGCUUCCCAAAUUUCAAGAUCUAUCAGGAGAAGAUCCCAACUGGCAUCUACAUGAAUUCCAUGUGGUUUGUUCAACCAUGAAACCACAGGGGAUUUCAGAAGAAGACAUUAAGUUGAGGGUUUUUCCAUUCUCUUUGACGGAAGUAGCUAAAGACUAGUUAUAUUGCCUUCUAGCUGGAUACAUUAUAAGUUUGAUUGAUAUGAAGAGAGCAUUUUUGGAGAAAUUUUCCUAGCUUCUAGGACUGCAACUAUUAGGAAGAGUAUUUGUGGUAUUCAGCAAGUAGUGGGAGAGACUCUUUAUAAUUAUUGGGAAAGAUUCAAGAAGCUGUGUUCGAGUUGUCCACAACAUCAAAUUAGUGAUAAGCUUCUUGUUCAAUAUUUUUAUGAGGGUCUACUUCCCAUGGAUAGAAGCAUGAUAGAUGCAGCAGCUAGAGGAGCUUUGGUGAAUAAGACUCCAAAUCAAGCAAGAGAGUUAAUUUCAAAUAUGGCAGAAAAUUCAUAGCAAUUUGGGAGGAGAGCUCUUGGUACUAGAGUGGUUAAUGAAACUCAUUUGGUUUCAACUGAGCAACAAGAAAUCAGGAAUAAUUUGCAAGAGUUGACCUCUCUAGUGAAGCAAAUGGCAUUGCAAAAUUCUUGUAAAGUUUUAAAUUUUUUCUGUUACCAAUGAUUAAAUUGUGUGGAAUUUGUUCAAGCCAAGAUCAUUCUUCGGAUUAUUGUCCUAACUUACACCAAGAUAAAUCAAUGGUAGCCAUCUCAAGACCUCAAUAUCAAUCACACAAAUAUGAUCCUAACUCUUUAACUUACAAUCCGAGAUGGAGGGAUCACCCUAAUUUGAGGUAUGGGAACACAUUUUAUCAACAACCACCACAAGGAUAGAUUCAUCAGUCAUCAUUCCAGAAUCAACAAAAUCAACACCAUUUUCAGAGUCAUCCAGCAGUUCAUUCUCAGCAAUAUCAGCAGCUUCAGCAGCCACAAUUUCAACAAAAUUUCAGCCAAAAUCAGCAAUUUCAACCAUUCCAGAAUUUCCAGCAGUCACAUAAUGCGAUCUAGCCACAAUUUCAGAACCCACAGAAUCAACAAACAAAUUUCCAGCAGAUUCAGCUACCUGUGCAGAAUUUCCAGUAGCCAAGUAAUGCAAAUCAGCAUCAAUUUUAGCUUGCACUGCCAUCUUCUACAAGCUCGAGAUCAAUGCAACCUCAGCACAACUUUAGCAGCUCAAAAAUAGAAGAUUUGAUGCAGCAAAUGAUGCAAUAGCAGCAACAUUAGCAGAGGACUGAUACAACAUUGCAAAACAUCGAAAGGAAGAUUGGGCAGCUAGAUAGUAACAUUAAUCAGAUGCAGAAUCAGGGAUCUAGGCAGUUACCUUCACAACCGACUCCAAAUCCUAAAGGAAAUAUAAGUGCAUUGUCUUUGCGAAGUGGUAAAACAAUUCUAGACCCAAAUCCAAAUUUUUCGGCUGGAUCAUAGUAGAGUUUACCUAAACCAGCUGUAGAUUCAACUUCACAAAGUUUUCAAAAUUUUCCAGCAAAUCCAGCGCAAACAGAUUCAGCACAGAAUGACAUUUCUAAAGCUAAACAACAACAAUUUACUCAACCUGCAACUUCAGAACUUACACAAUCUGGUGGAGCAGAUUUUGGUUCAGAAGUUAAUCCAACAACAGCUAGCAAUUCAGCUCCAAACUCAGCACAGAAUCUGGAGAAAAAUCUGAACCAGCAAGGAGCUGAGUCUUCCAUUCCAUUACCUUUCCCUUAAAGAAGUAUACAAUCAAGAAAAGAGAUGGAGGAAGAAAAGGCUAAAGAAUAUCAAGAUUUGGUGAAAUUGUUCAGCAAGGUUGAAGUGAAUGUGCCCUUGUUAACCAUGAUCAAACAAAUUCCUAAAUAUGCCAAAUUCCUUAAGGAUCUUUGUGUGCAUAAGAAGAAAUUGAAGGGAAAUGAAUUGAUAAGUAUGGGGGAAAAUGUCUCAGCAUUACUUCAGCCAGUUCCUCAAAAGUGUGAAGAUCCAGGAGUUUUCACAAUGUCUUGUGUUAUAAGAGAUUGUAUUUUUGAGGAUGCGAUGUUAGAUCUUGGAGCUUCUAUAAAUGUGAUGCCGAAAUCAGUUUUUCAAUCAUUAAGAAUUGGACCUUUGUAGCCUACAGGUGUAGUAAUUCAAUUAGCUAACCGAAGUCAAGCACACCCAGCUGGAGUGAUAGAAGAUGUUUUGGUAAAAGUGAGAGAGUUAAUUUUUCCUGCAGAUUUUUACAUCUUAGAUAUGGAGGGUGAUGUGCUUGCAAACAUAUCUCCACUUAUCCUUGGACGUCCAUUCUUGAAAACAGCUGGAACAAAGAUUGAUGUACAUGCAGGAACUCUUUCCAUGGAAAUUGGAGACACCGUGGUUCGGUUCAGCAUUUUUGAGGCUAUGAAGCAUCCAAGAGAGGAUCAUUCUAUUCUUAGCUUGGAUAUUUCAGAGGAGCUGGACAGCAUGGAUUUCUCUUCAGAAGUUGAUUUAGAUUCAAAUUUUUUUGAUGUUGGCCAAGGGAAUGAAUUGGUUUCAUUGUUGGAGAAUAUCUUAGAAGUGGGAGCAGAUGUUAGUUCAAAUGAAUGCGUAGGGGAUUGCUUAGGAGAAGCAUUACCCCUAGAAUUGCCCAGACAAGAAGAAUUAUGCGUAGGGGAUUGCUUAGGAGAAGCUCCACCCCUAGGAUCGCCUUCGGUUGACCAGAUACAGGAGGCGUUGAAGCCAUUACCUCAGCAUUUGAAGUAUGCCUAUUUAGGAGAGAAUCAGCAGCUACCUGUCAUUAUAGCUUAGAAUUUGGAACCAAAUCAGGAGGAAAGAUUGUUAGAGAUUCUGAGACACCAUAGAAAGGCCAUUGGAUGGACUCUGGCAGAUAUUCCUGGGAUCAGUCCUUCUAUUUGCAUGCAUAGGAUCUAUUUGGAGGAGAAUGUGCAGCCAGUGAGACAGCCAUAAAGACGACUUAACCCCUUGAUCUUGGACGUGGUAAAGAAAGAGGUGACUAGACUCUUACAGGCAAGCAUUAUUUAUCCGAUUUCUGACAGUAAAUGGGUAAGUCCCAUCCAUGUGGUUCCGAAGAAGUCAUGGGUGAUAGUGGUAGCUAAUGAAGAGAACGAGUUGGUGCCCACGAGAGUGAAGAAUUCUUGGAGAGUUUGUGUAGACUACAGGAAGCUAAAUCAAGCAAGUCGAAAGGAUCAUUAUCCACUUCCUUUUAUUGAUCAGAUGUUGGAGAGAUUGGCAGCCUUGAAAUAUCUCCUCAAGAAGCCUGAUGCAAAACCUAGGUUGAUCAGAUGGAUGCUUCUGCUUCAAGAAUUCGACGUAGAGAUACGUGAUAGGAACGGGAAGGAGAACUUGGUUGCAGAUCACUUGAGCAGAAUUGAAGGAGACUUGGAUCGUACAUCUAUUGAUGAUGAUUUCAGAGAUGAGCAGCUUCUACAGCUGCAAGGUGAGUCACCAUGGUAUGCAGAUCUAGCUAAUUUCUUAGUAGCACAUGUUUAUCCCAAAUAAUUUUCGAAAGCUCAAAAAGAUAAAUUAAAAAGUGAUUCAAAAUUCUAUGUUUGGGAUGAUCCUUAUCUGUGGAAGUUUUGUAGUGAUCAGUUCAUUAGGAGAUGCAUACCUGACUCUGAGUUUCAGUCUGUACUUACUUUUUGUCAUUCUUUUGAGUGUGGAGGACAUUUUGGACCACAACGAACUGCUAGGAAAAUAUUAGAAUGUGGUUUGUACUGGCCUACCCUUUUUCGUGAUGCUUUUGCUUUUUAUCGAUCAUGUGAUAGGUGUCAACGAACUAGGAACAUAGGACUUAGAAAUGAAAUGGCUCAACAAUUUAUAUUAUUUUGUGAGAUUUUUGAUGUUUGGGGUAUUGACUUUAUGGGUCCAUUUCCUGUCUCUUUCGGAUUUGCAUAUAUUUUAUUGGCAGUUGAUUAUGUUUCCAAAUGGGUGGAAGUCAUUCCCACUCGGAUUGAUGACUCUUCUGUUGUUAUUAGCUUUGUCAGGUCUCACAUAUUUUGCAGGUUUGAAGUACCCAGGGCAAUCAUUAGUGAUCAAGGGUCUCAUUUUUGUAAUAGACACAUGAAAGCUUUGCUACAUAAGUAUGGGGUUACACACAAAGUUUCUACAUCCUAUCACCCUCAAACAAAUGGGCAAGCAGAAGUGUCUAACAGGGAGGUGAAAUCGAUUCUUGAAAAGACCGUGAGACCGGAUAGGAAGGAUUGGAGCAAAAGACUUGAAGAUGCACUAUGGGCGUAUAUGACUGCUUUCAAGACUCUAUAGGAAUGCCUCCAUACAGGAUUGUGUAUGGAAAAGCUUGUCAUCUACCCGUGGAGAUUGAGCAUAGGGCAUAUUGGGUGGUUAAAGCAUGCAACUUUGAUAGUGACACGAUUGGAGAAGAAAGAAAAUUGUAACUUCAAGAACUUGAAGAGAUUAGAUUGGAAGCCUAUGAGAACUCACAGAUUUAUAAAGAAAAGACCAAGAGAUUUCAUGACAAACAAAUUGAGGUGAAAGAAUUCUAAAUUGGUGACAAAGUACUUCUAUAUCGAUCUCGUCUCAAAUUGAUUAAAGGAUCUUUAAAGUGAAUGGGCAUAGGCUUAAGAAGUUCCAUGAAGGAGUUAAUGGCUUGGUGGUGGAGGAAAUGGACCAUAUCGAUGCUAUCUACCCGAGUUAAAGGGGGGUUUCACUUUAUCUUUUGUUUCUUUGAGAAUGAAUAAAUUUUAGGGAUCUAGUAGUCUUUUUAUUUCUUUUGAUAAGCUUACGGUUUUAAUCUGAAUUCUCUUGUUGCAUUAAUAAAUUCUUAGUCUCUUGAGUAGUUUUUAUGUUUACAUCAUUAGUAUUUCAGAUUUUAGGUUUUAUGUUCAUGGUAGUUAUCAUUUCUUUGAAUUUGGUAAUCUUUGUUUUAGGAAUAAAUGGUACUUUCUUCUUUUGACAAUUCUUUGUGUCAUCUUUAGAGAUUUGAAAAAGAAUGUUAAAUUUGAUUAUUGAGUUUAGAGACUUUAUGGCAUGAAUGAACUAUAGGACUACAUGAGGUGCACAUUAUGUGUUGGAUUCUGGAUUGACGGAAUGAUAUGUUAAUUUUUAUUUACCUAGUGAGGUUAGAGCCUAUGUGAGAGAUGCUCUUGUGGCUUAUUUCACUCUAGAAUUUGCUUCAAAUCUGUUUAAUACCACUGAAUCAGAAUUGAGUCACCUUGAUGAAGUUUCCUCCAUUAUCUUAUUGCCCACAUUUAUCUUUAUUAUUUUUUCUUGUCAUGAAUCAUCAUAUCUUUGUUCUUUUCUAAUGUCUUUUUCUUUGAAUGUGGUUACCUUGGAUUUUAUGUGAUGAUUUCAUUUUGGCCGAGACGAACAAAAGAGUAAGUGUGGGGGAGGUAUUUAGUUUGAUUGAGUUCUUUUGUUGAGUUUAGGUGGAGAAAGUGAAUUCUGCAGAAUUAAGGAAGCUCAGUGGAUUAAAUUUUUGUGUGUGUGUCAUUUUUCCAAUAUUGAUAUAUUUGAUUGAAAAUCUUGUGAACGAAUUGAAAUCCAGAAACUGAUGCAUGGCCAGUUUUUAUAGAAACAGAAUUCUGUAGAAAGUGAAGAGCAGAUCUAUCAAAACUCAGAAUGCAAGAUUCAAAUGAGUGGAAGCUUAGUUGAAAUUUAAGAAUAUGCUGAAACAAAUGGUAGGCUACCCUUUAUGGAAUCUGCAAAACAAGGAAAGAUGAAUUCAAGAACUUAUGUGGACACAAAAGAAUGCCAGAACAGUGAAUCUUUGUAGCUGUUGAAAAUCUGACCACAAUGGAUGAUAAUGAGGAAUUCAAAUUGGUGGGUAAUAUUUCAUCAAUGAAUCACUUGAACAUAGUAUCAUUUACUUGGAAAAGUUGAAGAAAAGGACAACAAAUUGGACCUUUAUACAGUGAGGAGAAUGCUGGAAACAUAAUUAAGAAACAAAUGGAAACAACAAUUUGUGUUUAUUCCCCUAUCCAUUCUUUAUAAAAUUACUGGACAAAAUGCUGAAAGUUACAAAUUGCUGAAAUUCUGAAGUGCAGAAACUUUCUAAUUGAUGUUAUAAGCUGAGACAAGAUUUGAAUUUAAGCUACUAUUUGAUUUAUUGGUUGUAAAGUUCUAUGGGAAUAAAUUGUUGAAGCUUGAAGUGAGGAAACAGUAACAUCAAAUGAAGAUAUCAAGUGCACAAAGUUGAAAUUCAGAAUUCGGUGAGAUGUAGAAUUGAGCAGUUCUGAAAAGAAUUGGAAAGCUGUGUAGUUUGGAAAGAAUGGAGUAUCAAAAUGUUAGAAAUGAUAUCAAGGAAAGGAGAAGCUUAGAUGAAGUUUUGUAACGUGAAGAAACAAAUGGAAUGUUGGCAUCAAUAGCUUCUAACAAGAUUAAUUUUAACACUGCAUAGAUGAAAUAGUAAUGACAGUUUACAACAGUGAAGGAUGAUACUGGAUGCAGGAAGAGGAAAUAGAAGGAAACAGUGAUGGUUGAUUGGGUUGUGAAGUGAUACUCAAUUCAAGGAAAACAACUGCAGAUAUGAAAUGGAGUAAUGAAGAUAAAAAUAGUACAUUUGCUGUAAAGAAAGAAAUUUACAGAGAAGUAGCAACCUAGAAGUGCAGAUUAUGCAGGAUGAAUUGGGCAAUUUUGUGCCAAAUUGGGAAAUGGAUUGUAACCGUUUGAAGAUGCUGAAACCUGAAAGUUUUCCAGUUAUGCAUUGUAAAGGGUCUGAAGAGGCCAUAUAAAGAAGUAUUGAAGUUUCUUGAGGCUAAGCAGUGGCAAUUGGUACAAAGACCAGAAUGUGCAUAAAUGACUAAGCAAUGGUUGUGCAGAAUGGAAUCAAGGCCAUUUGUUCAUUAAAAAUUUUGAAACUCAGCUGCUAUUCUAGUAUUGAUAAAGGAUUAUCUUGCUUCUCUAGAUCUACAAGAUUUUUAGACAAGAAAUUUGAUACUGAAUAGGAAAAACAAAGUACAAAAUUGAAAACUGAACCAAAAUUGCAGCUUUGGUAUUGGACUGAAAUUGUAGCAGAGGAAGUUAAAUUCAGCUGAUUUUUUUUUGUGUUAUUGCAAGAGAAGAGGUUAAGUUUUGCAGUAGGUCAAUUGUAGAAGAGGAUGUUAAGACAAAAGAAGUGAACAUCUGCAAUUGAAACUGCAUUCUGAUUUGAAGGCAGACAAAUUCUGGCUAAAGGGUACUAAGGGAUUCAUGAUUCAAUUGGAGGCUUGGUUCACUCAACCAAAUGGAGUGCAAAACCCCAAUGGACCUCAACUGAACCUGGACUUUAAUUGAUUUCAAUGGAGCCUAAACCCAAGCUAGAUCACACAUGAGCUUGACACGAACUUAGGUUUUAAUUGGCUAAAACCCUAGGUAUAAAAGGAAAAAUCUGGCGCGGUGAGCAGUGAGCUUGCGCUACUGUUCAUCGUGUCGUUUCUCUCGACGGCACGUCACUUGCUCCUCCCUUCUCCCAGAUCUUUGAGCCAGCUUGUCCUCAUCGGCAAGGAGUUCCUCAGCCUCCGACGACCAGAUUUCGACCAUCGUUCUUCAUCAGCGAAUUGAUUUGGUGAGCAGGGUACUAUAGCUGAGAAUCACGGUUUUCUCCUCAGUCCGGCGGCGUUCCUCCGGUUUGAGCUUCCACUCCUCUACAGAACCAUCGGCGGCAUUCCUCCGGUGCUUCUGAUCCAUUUUUGACAUCACUUCAUGCUUCGUGGCCCUUGGUCCAUCUCGCGAUUCCAGCGCCAGUGACCCCAGCAGCGUGCGACAGA